UAGUAAGUAUUACAUUUACUGAUUUCACAUUCUAAUUCUAACCUAUCAUUUCACACACUACAUCAUUUGAGUUCAUAUACUUCUAUGCUCUAGUGAACAAAUUGACAACAUCCAAAUGUUCAGUUGCAUCUGCGAGUCCAAAAUUGCAGUCGAGUUUGAAGAACAUAUAUGUAAGUAACUUAACCUCUUUCCAGCGAAUAAAAAAGGUACAAUACACUAUGUACAGUCAGGGAAGUUAUUGCAUCAACCGGUAUCGGUAUAAAUACUUUAAUUUAGAACUAUGUUAUAUUGUGGAGUCUACUACAACGGUUUAUCCGGCCGUAUAUGUUACCGUACGUGUCCAAGAAGACAUAGGAUCACUAUGUCGUAAUCCUUUUCUUAUCGACACGAAAAUGCGACACUGAUUGGAGAAGUUGACGUAAAAGCGCCUCGUUACGCACAAGGAACCUUUUAACAGGGUCACGCCAGAUUACCUCGUUUAUUUAUAGGCCGACGAAAAAAUUGAUCGCGACACCGAUCGAACGACCCAGCUUUGAACUUUCGAACCGGACAAUAUCUUUAUAGUUUGGCUCACAGUUGACCAGUCUUCCCUCGACUAAUGAGGUCUUAACCUAACUUUCAUUGCCUGUACGAGUAACGUUAAUUGACGGGAAACAUAAUUUCCAUCCUCUGUGAAAAGGUUAACGCGUCGAAUGAAUUUCCGGUCUUUACGAGAAAUUUAGGAAUCCAGAAAUUUUUUCGUAGUUUACUCGGAGAAGUUGAUACGACCGGUUCCUACGUUUCCGGUACACGUAGUAAGAGAGGAAACGAUAAAAGGGUAUGGCGGUACAGUUGCGCGCUACGUGAGUUUAGUUCGGAAAGUUUUAUCGGUCAAAGUUGCUGGAUACUGAGGAUUUCGAAAUUCGAUUCUCUCAACUCGGGAGAGAACCCGCUAUCCGUAAAACGAAUGAUUGUUUAACAUGGAUUAUUAACGAUCUGCCUGACGAUAGAACGAUAGAAAUUCAAGAAGAAAAUUUCCAUUUUCUUCGUAUGUAAACGAACCAUAUUCUCAUUUUGCUUAUAUCGGAGAAAAACAAAAGAACCAUUAUUCGUGUAAUGACCCACAUUUAACUAGGAGGUUGGCAUAUUUUAUUGAUGGCCGGAAAGCUGAUACGGUUUAACCGGUUUCAGCGCGUAGCACGCGCCAAUAAAGUAUACACAGUCGCUGUGCGUAACAGUAGCUUUUAAUAAUUACACCAACAAGACAAAUUUAAUAUUAACCGUGAAACAGGUUCUUGUGUACCUGUGAAUGCUGUUUACAUACGCUUUUCUUGUAUUAAAAUGGAUCUUUCAAUUAUUCGAAGGAUAAAAUCUGACAUUCCGAAGAAAUAUAAUCUAAUGGCAUUUCUCUUUGCACGAGCAUUCCUGCAAAUGAUUAUCGACCGAGUCAUAAAUCUUCGUAAAAAUGGGCGGGGACCAUUUCAUUUGUGGCACAUUUUACGAGAGACCUCUACAAUCCCUACGGAGGGAACGGCAAACCAUUUGCGGAUCGUUUCAUUCGAAUCGUCGCCGACGGUGCCUCUCUAUUGGAUAAGCAAUUGCAAGUGCAAACAUUUGCUCGCAAUCAUUUAUGCUCGCUGGUGUGGGCAUCAUGAGUGAAUGUCUCACCAGCGUUGGCUUUCGCUGAAUCUUGACUGGAAAUUGCGUUUGAACUGAGAAUGUUUACCGAUGUUACAUUCAUUGUUCACAGAACCAUUAUCAAAAGGUAGAAUAAUCUCCAUGGGAUAUCUGCAUAACCAAGAUACAAGAAGAUGUACAACCGAAGUAGGUUAGGAAUAUGCUUCCACUAACCUAUAUUCUCUCAUGGUCUCGCUCGUCCAGUGGAAAAGCAUCAUUACGUUCCGAAGCGUUCGUCGUACAAUGUCACCAACGCUGUCACGAUUCUCAUGCACACAUGCGUAAUUACUCCGGUGACUGAAGCACGUCAAUUCGGGUUGCACUACACGUAGCAUUAAAACUCUCAUGGCGCGGCGUAGGUUUGGCCGUUAGUUUGUAAAACCGCGAAGCGUGGUGUGAGCAACAUACGAGUCGAUACAUGCAAGCUUUACCAGGUAUAAAAAAAAUCCAUUGCAUUUUACUUAACUUUUUCAGUGGCCACCGACAAGUUUUAUUAAACCGUCGUUCGCAUUUUUACGGAGGGGAAGGAUAUAUACGUAGACCGACGAACGAAUAGCCCUUUUCGCGAGCCAUUAUAUGCGUUCCCGCCUCGAUUUACCAGCUGCUCAGGGAGUUAGACGAAAGUUGAACGAGAAUCAGGCCUAUACAUAAUACGAGGGCCGUUGCAUAACGCGUUGGCGUUGCCAUCGCGUCUAAAGCUCAAAAACACGUUACUUCAGAAUCCAUCUCCUUACAGCUUUAUGCAGCAUUUACAAGACAAGUAGCGCACUCGCGCGAUUUACCCAGACGAAAAUCACUUAAGCUUCUUUUGUCCGCGCUGUUUCAGCGGUUCAAACGUAUACUUGAAAAUAUAUAUUUUCAACGGAUCUGACGCGCAUUUAAAUGUACCAUUCGGUCGAUAUAAAAAUGCGUUUCGAUUAUAAGCAAACAGACAGACUUGGCUAGAACUAUUUACGAUUCGCACUAAUAUUAAGGAAUAAAUAAUUGUGGAAACAUUUACCUUUGGGAACGUUGUUUCCGAUAAAUGAUUCACUGCGCGAGCGCCACAAAUAUUUGCUAUUCGUCCACAUUUUCAAUUAACACUAUUUUAUGUUGCACGCGCAUUUUAAAAGUGGCAAUUCAAACAGGGUUUCCAGAAAAACGAGAAACUAUUCGGAAGCUUACAAAAAUGAUUUGCAAUAAAUACACGAUGUUGGCAAAAAAAUAUGGAUUCUACGAAGCAACGAUCAAAUAUUAUUUUUGUAAUUCUCCAUUACUCUAACACAGAAUUGAAGUAUUUCGAGUCGUGACACUUUUGAGACACGUAUAAAGAUGUAUUUCUUCACGAACUAAGAAUUUAAGAAUUGGUGAAACAAUAACCUAGCACUGGCAACGUAUAUGAUAGUAAUACGAUCACGGAUCACUUCGGAUAAAAGGGAUAUUAUUUUCAAGGAAUAUUUCGUUACGGUGGGUACCGGGUAAUUGAGUUAACUGACCGAGAAGACGUGUACGGCAAAAGGUAAGUCGAGGCUUGUUGGAUGCGAACUUGGGUUAAGGAUAGAGACUAGCCAAGUUCGGGCCAACUUCGGAUCAGGUUCGGGUCAGAAACCUGUCGGAGACAAGGCACAGACGGGCCAGAAACGGGACUCUCUCUUCGCUGUUUCCCCCCUCAGCUAUUAUAAAAUUACGCUGCGAGACAUUCUCGAGAACGCAACGUCGGGCAGUACGAAAUUUUCACCACGUGCUUCCCCCUUUGCCCUCUCCCCUCUCCCCCUUUGCCACGUUUCGCCAUAAUUUAGCAUAAAGUUUUCGAUACGUAUACAUUAUAUACAGGGUGGGCCAUGCGAACUGUUCUCUCAGAAACCAAGGGAAAUAUUAAUUUAACAUUUUUUCCAGUUUAAUGAAAUGAGAAAAUGAAUUAUGCGGUGUACGAAUAUUCUUUUGGUACUACUACUAUAAGUUUUUGUUAUUUUUCGAAAUGAAGCGCUGUAUUCAAUUCGCUUUACUUAGAUAGAUGUUGCCAAAUUUAAUAAUAUCUACUUGAAACAUUU